rnacentral:rRNA from 1 species
CGUACACUCCUGCGGGAGGCAGCAGUGGGGAAUAUUGCACAAUGGGCGCAAGCCUGAUGCAGCCAUGCCGCGUGUAUGAAGAAGGCCUUCGGGUUGUAAAGUACUUUCAGCGGGGAGGAAGGCGAUAAGGUUAAUAACCUUGUCGAUUGACGUUACCCGCAGAAGAAGCACCGGCUAACUCCGUGCCAGCAGCCCCGGUAAUACGGAGGGUGCAAGCGUUAAUCGGAAUUACUGGGCGUAAAGCGCACGCAGGCGGUCUGUCAAGUCGGAUGUGAAAUCCCCGGGCUCAACCUGGGAACUGCAUUCGAAACUGGCAGGCUAGAGUCUUGUAGAGGGGGGUAGAAUUCCAGGUGUAGCGGUGAAAUGCGUAGAGAUCUGGAGGAAUACCGGUGGCGAAGGCGGCCCCCUGGACAAAGACUGACGCUCAGGUGCGAAAGCGUGGGGAGCAAACAGGAUUAGAUACCCCUGUAGUCCC